UGGGCCUUGAGGGAAAAGAACUGUGAAAUUUGGGUUCAAUUUAGUUGUUUUGAUCUGGACUUCUUUAUGAGUAGGGAGAAUUAAAUUGGCCACAUGUGACCUUGUAUUUAGAGGAAAUCAAAUCAUUCAAACAAGAUAAUUUAGCCCCUUGCUCAACAAUUCCUCCUUUUCUCUUCAACUCCAGGGUUAUUGAUUGAGGUCCUGCCUGAAUACAUUUUACUAGAGUUUAGAGAAUUGUAAUAGUUGCAUUGUUUCUCUGGUUACAACCUCAAAAUGCACUGCAGAUUUCUUCAACUGAAAUUGCUCCGAUGUUAAUAUGUUGUGGGAAUGAAAGACUGAUUUCAGCACUCAAGCUACACCAGAGGAAACAGCAGUGAGGAGAAACCAAGCAGCGAUCAUGGGACAAGAGGUCUUUUCUUCCUGUCUUCAUCUGCUGAUCUGCUCACCUGAUAUUCACUGAGUACCAAGUUUAUGCCAGGAAGUUCUCUUUUCUUAGCACAGAUGUCACCUCCCUGGGGACACCACCUUUGGAUACUCAGACUGAAUCAGGGCCCUCAAGAUACCUUCCAACAACACCCUGCACUAGUCUACAGAGUCACCACACAUGGAAUGAUUCGUAAUUAUUUACUUCUUUGUUAAAAAAGUUAUCAACAAUGCUGUAUGCUCAGGGUUCUUACAUACUAGAUAAAGUCUGUCAAUGGCCUUUUAAAAAU
rnacentral:lncRNA from 1 species